UGCUCUAUUAGCUAGUUGGCGGGAUAAAAGCCCACCAAGGCAAUGAUAGAUAGCUGGUCUUAGAGGAUGAACAGCCACAAUGGGAUUGAGAUACGGCCCAUAUUCCUACGGGAAGCAGCAGUAGGGAAUCUUCCACAAUGGACGAAAGCUGAUGGAGCAAUACCAUGUGAACGAUGAAGGCCUUUUUGGUUGUAAAGUUCUUUUACGAGGGAUAAUUAUGAUAGUACUUCGUGAAUAAGUGACAGCAAACUAUGUGCCAGCAGCUGCGGUAAUACAUAGGUCGCGAGCAUUAUUCGGAUUUAUUGGGCGUAAAGCAAGCGCAGGCGGAUGUGUAAGUUCUGUGUUAAAUGCAGCUACUCAAUAGUUGUAUGCACCGAAUACUACAUGUCUAGAUUGUGGUAGGGAGUUUCGGAAUUAAGCAUGGAGCGGUGGAAUGUGUAGAUAUGCUUAAGAACACCAGAGGCGAAGGCGGAAACUUAGGCCAUAAAUGACGCUUAGGCUUGAAAGUGUGGGGAGCAAAUGGGAUUAGAUACCCCAGUAAGUCCACACCGUAAACGAUGGGUAUUAGAUAUUAGGGCUUUAGCUUUUAGUGUUGUAGCUUACGCGUUAAAUACCCCGCCUGGGUAGUACAUAUGCAAAUAUGAAACUCAAAGGAAUUGACGGGGACCUGAACAAGUGGUGGAGCAUGUUGCUUAAUUCGAUAAUACACGAAAAACCUUACCAAGGUUUGACAUCCCUCGCAAAGCUAUAGAAAUAUAGUAGAGGUUAUCGAGGUGACAGGUGGUGCAUGGCUGUCGUCAGCUCGUGUCUUGAGAUGUUUGGUUAAGUCCCGCAACGAGCGCAACCCCACUCUUUAGUUACUUGUCUAAAGAGACUGCACAGUAAUGUAGAGGAAGGAUGGGAUCACGUCAAGUCAUCAUGCCCCUUAUGCCUUGGGCUGCAAACGUGCUACAAUGGCGAACACAAUGUGUUGCAAACCAGCGAUGGUAAGCUAAUCACCAAAUUUCGUCUCAGUUCGGAUAGGAGGCUGCAAUUCGCCUCCUUGAAGUUGGAAUCACUAG
rnacentral:rRNA from 1 species